rnacentral:rRNA from 1 species
ACGCGGGAAAUCUUACCGGGUCCGGACACACUGAGGAUUGACAGGCAAUAUCUCAUGGUUAUUAACCCGGUUAUUACAUUUUGUUUAAUCGGUUAUUAAGCAUCGAGUGUUAAAUAUGCUAGUCCUUUCAUGAUUAUGUGAUAGGUGGUGCAUGGCCGUUCUUAGUUCGGGAGUGAUCUGUCUGCUUAAUUGCGUUUCACUAAGGGCCCAUAAAUUCAAGGUAUGUUAGCUAUCGUCGCUCUAUGGACCCCUUAUACUCGAUUUCGCUUUAAUUAGCGUUAUUUGUUUAAUAAGCGCGCGUCUUUAUUUAAGAGUUUAAGACACUGCGCAUGCUGUUGGGCUCUGAAAGCAACGAACG